AACGAGCGCAACCCUUGUCCUUAGUUACCAGCACGUUAAGGUGGGGCACUCUAAGGAGACUGCCGGUGACAAACCGGAGGAAGGUGGGGAUGACGUCAAGUCAUCAUGGCCCUUACGGCCUGGGCUACACACGUGCUACAAUGGUCGGUACAAAGGGUUGCCAAGCCGCGAGGUGGAGCUAAUCCCAUAAAACCGAUCGUAGUCCGGAUCGCAGUCUGCAACUCGACUGCGUGAAGUCGGAAUCGCUAGUAAUCGUGAAUCAGAAUGUCACGGUGAAUACGUUCCCGGGCCUU
rnacentral:rRNA from 1 species